CAGUAGCCGCGGGAAUACAGAGGCCUCAAGCGUUGUUCGGAUUCAUUGGGCGUAAAGGGAGCGUAGGCGGUCGGGUAAGUUGGACGUGAAAUCCUGGGGCUCAACCUCAGAACUGCGUUCAAUACUGCUUGGCUAGAGUAUUGGAGAGGUGAGUGGAAUUCACGGUGUAGCAGUGAAAUGCGUAGAUAUCGUGAGGAACAUCAGUGGCGAAGGCGGCCAUCUGGGACAACACUGACGCUGAGGCACGAAAGCGCGGGGAGCAAACAGGAUUAGAUACCCGCGUAGUCCCUGUCUCUUAUAC
rnacentral:rRNA from 1 species